rnacentral:rRNA from 1 species
AACGAACGCUGGCGGCAUGCCUAACACAUGCAAGUCGAACGAGACCUUCGGGUCUAGUGGCGCACGGGUGCGUAACGCGUGGGAACCUGCCCUUAGGUUCGGAAUAACUCCCCGAAAGGGGUGCUAAUACCGGUUAAUCUCUUCGGACCAAAGAUUUAUCGCCUUUGGAUGGGCCCGCGUUGGAUUAGCUGGUUGGUAGGGUAAAAGCCUACCAAGGGGACGUUCCAUAGCUGGUCUGAGAGGAUGAUCAGCCACACUGGGACUGAGACACGGCCCAGACUCCUACGGAAGGCAGCAGUGGGGAAUAUUGGACAAUGGGCGAAAGCCUGAUCAAGCAAUGCCGCGUGAGAGAUGAAGGCCUUAGGGUUGUAAAGCUCUUUUACACGGGAUGAUAAUGACAGUACCGGGAGAAUAAGCUCCGGCUAACUCCGUG